rnacentral:rRNA from 14 species
AGUUAUGGCCAUGCUAUCCUGAAUGUAUCAAUCACUUUUAAUCUUAGAUGCUAAGUAGGAUGAGACCUGGUUAGCGCUUAGAUGGGAAGGCAUAGGUGAAGCUAUAGUUC